AGUCACUGACAUUAGAUACCCGCGUAGUCCCAGCCGUAAACUAUGCGCGUUAGGUGUACUGGUGACCACGAGUCACCGGGGUGCCGAAGGGAAACCGUGAAACGUGCCGCCUGGGAAGUACGGUCGCAAGGCUGAAACUUAAAGGAAUUGGCGGGGGAGCACCGCAACGGGAGGAGCGUGCGGUUUAAUUGGAUUCAACACCGUAAACUCACCAGGGAAGACUGUUACAUGAAGGCCGAGAUGAAGACUCUGCUAGAUUUUCAG
rnacentral:rRNA from 1 species